rnacentral:rRNA from 1 species
CGUGGGUGAUCUGCCCUGCACUUCGGGAUAAGCUUGGAAACUGGGUCUAAUACCGGAUAGGACCACGGUCUGCAUGGAUUGUGGUGGAAAGCUUUUGCGGUGUGGGAUGGGCCCGCGGCCUAUCAGCUUGUUGGUGGGGGUGAUGGCCUACCAAGGCGACGACGGGUAGCCGGCCUGAGAGGGUGUCCGGCCACACUGGGACUGAGAUACGGCCCAGACUCCUACGGGAGGCAGCAGUGGGGAAUAUUGCACAAUGGGCGCAAGCCUGAUGCAGCGACGCCGCGUGGGGGAUGACGGCCUUCGGGUUGUAAACCUCUUUCAGCAGGGACGAAGGGUGACUGACGGUACCUGUAGAAGAAGCACCGGCCAACUACGUGCCAGCAGCCGCGGUAAUACGUAGGGUGCGAGCGUUGUCCGGAAUUACUGGGCGUAAAGAGCUCGUAGGUGGUUUGUCGCGUUGUUCGUGAAAACUCACAGCUUAACUGUGGGCGUGCGGGCGAUACGGGCAGACUGGAGUACUGCAGGG